rnacentral:lncRNA from 1 species
UUGGAGGAGAGGGAACCAUACCAUGGGCAACAUUACGUGGGUGGCUAAAUACAUCGGUGUCAAAGAUUCGAGGAUGAUUAGGUGGUUGCAUACUCAGUAUAGUCUAUUUCUCUCUUAGGUAACUCUUAACACGCAUAUAGAGAUAGAAAUCCCAUUCUUACUUUGCUGGCAGGAUAUUUACAUGAUUCUAUUAGGUGCAAGAUCCAGAUUAUCCAUUUCCAUUCGAAACUUCCGCCGAAAGGAGAGGUUGGAAAAGGAGAAAGCCCUAUUAAUAUACUUACUGCUGCAAGUCCUGUAGCAAGCGCUAAGUCGACCAGAUGGAUCGGAUGCUGUUUCAAGUAUAGUUCCAGAUGAAAUACAAGUUCC